UACGUAGGGUCCGAGCGUUGUCCGGAAUUAUUGGGCGUAAAGGGCUCGUAGGCGGUUUGUCGCGUCGGGAGUGAAAACACGGGGCUUAACCCCGUGCCUGCUUCCGAUACGGGCAGACUAGAGGUAGGUAGGGGAGAACGGAAUUCCUGGUGUAGCGGUGAAAUGCGCAGAUAUCAGGAGGAACACCGGUGGCGAAGGCGGUUCUCUGGGCCUUACCUGACGCUGAGGAGCGAAAGCAUGGGGAGCAAACAAG
rnacentral:rRNA from 1 species